CCUCCCUCAAACACUCUUGACUCCAGCUGGAUCUUUGCUAGGGCACAGAGAUUUUUCCAUCUUUGAGUUAGCUAAAGUUAUUCUACCUCCAGCUUACCACUCUAGUUACUAGAGCUAUGGUGCUCCUUAGCUUUGGGUAUGUUUGCUUUUGCUGUCCUAAAUCCAGAUGAGAGAAACGUUCAAGGUGGGUCUGGUGGUAGCAGCGGUGCAGCUUAGAGUAUCCUAUUUUUUGUGGCUCUUAGGAGUAGUUUCACGGUUAUGGGCCUUUUUGUAACAGUUGUCCUAGUGGGAACCCCUUUUGCAAACUGUUAUACUGUCAGCUUUUAGACUCUAUUUUGUUCAUGGCAUGGUAGUAUGUCUAAGCUUCCUUCCCAGUACUCUUAAG